rnacentral:rRNA from 1 species
CGUAGGUGGCAAGCGUUGUCCGGAUUUAUUGGGUUUAAAGGGUGCGUAGGCGGUGAUUUAAGUCAGUGGUGAAAUACUUCAGCUUAACUGGAGAGGUGCCAUUGAUACUGGGUCACUUGAGUACUGAUGAGGUAGGCGGAAUGGACGGUGUAGCGGUGAAAUGCUUAGAUAUCGUCCAGAACACCGAUAGCGAAGGCAGCUUACUAAGGAGUAACUGACGCUGAGGCACGAAAGUGUGGGGGAUCAAACAGGAUUAGAUACCCUGGUAGUCCACACUGUAAACGAUGAUCACUCGAUGUUGGCGAUACACAGCCAGCGUCUUAGCAAAAGCGAUAAGUGAUCCACCUGGGGAGUACGCCGGCAACGGUG